rnacentral:rRNA from 1 species
GAUGAACGCUGGCGGCGUGCCUAAUACAUGCAAGUCGAGCGAACGGACGAGAAGCUUGCUUUUCUGAUGUUAGCGGCGGACGGGUGAGUAACACGUGGAUAGCCUACCUAUAAGACUGGGAUAACUUCGGGAAACCGGAGCUAAUACCGGAUAAUAUUUUGAACCGCAUGGUUCAAAAGUGAAAGACGGUCUUGCUGUCACUUAUAGAUGGAUCCGCGCUGCAUUGGCUAGUUGGUAAGGUAACGGCUUACCAAGGCAACGAUGCAUAGCCGACCUGAGAGGGUGAUCGGCCACACUGGAACUGAGACACGGUCAAGACUCCUACGGGAGGCAGCAGUAGGGAAUCUUCCGCAAUGGGCGAAAGCCUGACGGAGCAACGCCGCGUGAGUGAUGAAGGUCUUCGGAUCGUAAAACUCUGUUAUUAGGGAAGAACAUAUGUGUAAGUAACUGUGCACAGCUUGACGGUACCUAAUCAGAAAGCCACGGCUAACUACGUG